rnacentral:lncRNA from 1 species
AUCUAUUAGGUUUUAUUAUGCAAUUUAUUACGCGUAUUAUUACUAAAAUUAAUUAAUUAAUUUCAUAGCGUUUAGAGAUUUAAAUUGAAGUUAAAAAAUUGGAAAUAAAUAUUAUAAGUUAAAAUUAAAAUUUAAAAUUUACAGUAUAAAAUUUGGAAUUUAAAAAUUUAAAAUAUGAAAGUAUCAUAAUUUUAAAUUUUGAUAUCAAAAUUUAAAAUUUUAUAUUAUAUAUAUAUAUAUAUAU